AGGGUUCGAUUAUGGCUCAGGAUGAACGCUGGCGGCGUGCUUAACACAUGCAAGUCGAACGGGAAACAUUUUAAUGAAGCUUCGGCAGAUUUAGCUUGUUUCUAGUGGCGGACGGGUGAGUAACGCGUGGGUAACCUGCCUCACACUGGGGGAUAACAGUCAGAAAUGACUGCUAAUACCGCAUAAGCGCACGGGAUUGCAUGAUCCAGUGUGAAAAACUCCGGUGGUGUGAGAUGGACCCGCGUUGGAUUAGCCAGUUGGCAGGGUAACGGCCUACCAAAGCGACGAUCCAUAGCCGGCCUGAGAGGGUGGACGGCCACAUUGGGACUGAGACACGGCCCAG
rnacentral:rRNA from 1 species